GACGAACGCUGGCGGCGUGCUUAACACAUGCAAGUCGAACGAAGUGGCGAACGGGUGAGUAACGCGUAAUCAACCUGCCCUUCAGAGGGGGACAACAGUUGGAAACGACUGCUAAUACCGCAUACUGAAGGCGGGGAUUGCGUCUGAUUAGCUAGUUGGAGGGGUAACGGCCCACCAAGGCGAUGAUCAGUAGGCGGGCUGAGAGGAUGGACGGCCACAUUAGGACUGAGACACGGCUCAGACUCCUACGGGAGGCAGCAGGGGGGAAUCUUCCGAAAUGGGGGAAAAUCUGACGGCGCAACGCCGCGUUAGUGAUGACGGCCUUCGGGUUGUAAAGCUCUGUUAAUCGGGACGCGGUACCGGAAUAGAAAGCCACGGCUAACUCCGUGCCAGCAGCCGCGGUAAUAC
rnacentral:rRNA from 1 species